rnacentral:rRNA from 1 species
AACGAACGCUGGCGGCGUGCCUAACACAUGCAAGUCGUGCGAGAAAGUUCCUUCGGGAGCGAGUAAAGCGGCGCACGGGUGAGUAACACGUAGGUAACCUGCCCCCCAGUCUGGAACAACUAGAGGAAACUCUAGCUAAUGCCGGAUGAGACCACGAUCCCUUCGGGGGGUUGCGGCCAAAGAUGGCCUCUACUUGUAAGCUAUCGCUGAGGGAUGGGCCUGCGGGCCAUUAGCUUGUUGGUGAGGUAACGGCUCACCAAGGCUGUGAUGGCUAGCUGGUCUGAGAGGAUGACCAGCCACACUGGGACUGAGACACGGCCCAGACUCCUACGGGAGGCAGCAGUGGGGAAUAUUGCGCAAUGGGCGAAAGCCUGACGCAGCGACGCCGCGUGGUGAUGAAGGCCUGUCGGU